ACACUCCUCUGAGCCUGCCCCAGGUGAGGCAACCACAGCAAGCUGAACACCAUCGCCAACACCUUGACUAGUGCAGCACCACUGGUCAGCAGCAUGAAAUAGGUACCUGGGCUCUGCUCAUGGUGGGAAGCAUCCACACGUGGUGCCAAGAGGCCUCUGUAAGGUGAGAAUUGUCAUUCGUAAUAAAACUGUCCUCACUAGCACUGGCAGGAGUGGGGAGGCGGUGCCAGGGCUGGAGGCAAUGCUGCCGGCAGCUCCCUGUGCUUUGCCCCCCGGCUGGGGGCUGCUGUCCCCCAAAAGGGCUCAGCAGAAGUGACCCGGCUGCCGCUGCCAGAGAGGGCUGCGAGGGGAGUGUCCAGUGGUGGGGCAAGAGGUGUAUGUGGGGUGACUGGGCUGGGCUGCUGCGGGGAGAGUGACCUCUGGCAGCAGAGAGGGGCGACGAGAGCAGGACACAGCGGGGAUGGGUUACACCCACGGCAGACAGCCCCAGGCCCGGCCAGGUGGAUUUUCUUCUGGAAGGUGUCACUCUGAAUUGGCAAAGCUGUCCUGCCAGGCAAAUUCCCGCUGGCCACAGCUUGCCACACAAGGAACCUAUGAAGGACAACGGUUGGGAGCACCGCGAGGCUGAGGCACGGCCCUGAGAAGCAGCUCAAUGGUUAGAAACGUAGCGAGGGCAUUGGCAGCUUUCACUUCAGCAUCAUCCAGCCCUGCUGAGAGGCACUCGACACACAACAGUGGUAAAAAUGCUGGCAGAGGAAGUGUCAGCAUUCGCUGCAUCAAAGGAAGGACCGAGCCAUACGGAUCCUGGCCAGCCGGUGCUGUGGUGGGGUUACAACUGGCCAGGCAGUUCCCUCCUCAUCAUGCUGCAGGGACUGGCUCACAUGCACCAAUGUACUGUAUAAUACAUGAGUGAAGGUCGUACAAUGACUUAUUCCUUUGGAGCUUUGUAAUUUAUUUCCUUUGGCACAGGUAUCCUGGUGAGUUCUACCUAAGUUUUGGGGCAAUCAGCUCAGUCCUGCUACAGGCUGGUAAUAGCAACUCCCCAGCUUUUCCUCAUCUUCCUCCCAUUUAUGUCUCCAGGGUUAAAACUCAGUUCAGAAUCCCCAGACCAAAUUGAAUUAGACUUUAACAUUCAAAGAUUCAGGCUCCCUUCAGGCUCUAAGGAACAGAAUGUCAUCCUGUCUCGCAGUUAAUAGCUGCUGGGUAGUCGUUUCAAAGCCAUUUCUUUUCAGUGAGCUCUACCAUAGCAAAUCCCAGCAGUGAAUGUAUUUCUGGCCUGGCUGUGCCUUUAAUCCCACAGCUGAGUCUUAUGUGUGAUCUCUUUUGAAAUGCUAGAUUUUUUUUCUUUUUUUAAUUCCAGACACGAUAUUUCUAGGACUUGGCAUUUCGAGUGGCAACAGGGAUGUUUAUAGGAAGAGAACAGAAAGGACAGAAGGACGAUGUUGACCUAGCAGCCCUACAAACCUACCGCACUUAAUCCACUUAUCACUCUGAAUUCCUGAAGCAGAUAAAUGCUGAUAACAGUUAAAACACAUCACUGGCAGGAGCAGCAUGUUCUGUCCUCUAGAAAUACAUCAAUACUGGCAAUUGCAAAGCUGUGUGCUACCAUGGGGAUGAGCAUGAUAUAAGAGCCGAGGAAGCCCUCACUGUUCAGCAGAGUUUUUCCACAGGAGGGUAGUGAGCCUCUGCUCCCUUCUCCCUCCCUGCCCCAACUACCUUGAGAUGUGGUUCAGACCUGAGAAAUGCUUUCAAACACUGUUGUGACCCCUGAGCCACAGCUGCCUGAUCUGUGCCUCCAAAUCUUAAAUACCAAGUGGGCCCCAAGUGUCUUGUUAGUGCUUUUGAUUGUCCUUGCUGCUCAGCAUUAAGACCUGUGAGGAGUGAUUUCUAGCUGAGACCAGCCCUGUGCAGCUCACAUCAGCAUGUCUUGGGGAGAGGAGUUGGUUUUGGGUAAUCUGACCUAAACCUUCCCUGGAGGAGUGCAGCUGCUGUACCAGCCUUGCAGAGCCACACAAAGCCACUUGCUCCUCUCCCCAUCUGUCAGGGGUCUCAGCAAGGUACUGGUGCCAUCCCUGGGCUCAGGGCUGCAGUGGCCACAGCUGCGUGCCUCCCCCUGUGUCAAGACCCCUUCCUCCAGGAGCCUGUCCCAGGCUGAACAAGAGGAAAAAUGCUGUAAACCAAAGGUUGUUUGAAGUAAACCUUGUUCCUGACAAAGUCUGGAGGGAUAAAACAACUGAUAGGGCUUUUGAAUCCAUGAAGCUUAC
rnacentral:lncRNA from 1 species